CCCCUAGAUGUUCUGGGCCGCACGCGCGCUACACUGAACAGUUCAACAAGUCUUAACCUUGGCCGAUAGGUCUGGGUAAUCUUUGAACGCUGUUCGUGAUUGGGAUAGACCUUUGCAAUUAUGGGUCUUCAACGAGGAAUUCCUAGUAAACGCAAGUCAUCAGCUUGCAUUGAUUACGUCCCUGCCCUUUGUACACACCGCCCGUCGCACCUACCGAUUGAAUGGUCCGGUGAAAUCUCGGGACGGCGGCUUGGUCGCUUGCGUCCGACAGCUGAAACUUGAUUAAACCAUAUCAUUUAGAGGAAGGUGAAGUCGUAACA
rnacentral:rRNA from 1 species